GAUCCUGGCUCAGGAUGAACGCUGGAGGCGUGGCUAAGGCAUGCAAGUCGAACGCCCUGUCCGAAGUCGCAAGACGGAGGAUAAGGGAGUGGCAAACGGGAGCGUAACACAUUGGUUACUUACCUUGAACUCGGGAACAACUAAGGGAAACUUUAGCUAAUACCCGAUAUGAUUGUUGGUCGCAGGGCUGACUAUUGAAAGAUUUAUCGGUUCAAGAGAGACCUAUGGUCCAUCAGCUAGUUGGCGGGGUAAAGGCCCACCAAGGCUAUGACGGAUACCAGGCGCGAGAGCGUGACCUGGCUCACUGGGACUGAGACACUGCCCAGAC
rnacentral:rRNA from 1 species